AAGUCGUAACAAGGUUUCCGUAGGUGAACCUGCGGAAGGAUCAUUACCAAGAGAAAUCUUUCAACACUGAAAGAUCUUUUCCUUUGUGCUGGCUUUGACCGUAUGUAAUUUUGGGACUUUAAAAUGGUUCGCAAGGGCCGGUCCCAAAAACAAUAUAUCACCCUUAUGAAAUUUUUUCUGAACAAUUAAGCAAAUGAUUUUAAUAAUCUGUUUAAAACAACUUUCAACAACGGAUCUCUUGGUUCUCGCAUCGAUGAAGAACGCAGCGAAAUGCGAUACGUAAUGUGAAUUGCAGAAUUCAGUGAAUCAUCGAAUCUUUGAACGCACAUUGCACUCCUUGGUAUUCCGAGGAGUAUGCCUGUUUCAGUAUCAUGAGCACUCUCACACCUAACCUUUGGGUUUAUGGCGUGGAAUUGGAAUGCGCCGACUGUCAUGGUUGGCCCUUCUAAAAUGUAGUUCUUGGCUGUCACCUAAUACAGCAGUUUGGCCUAAUAGUUUUGGCAUUCAUUGUCAAAUCUUUGGCUAACAUUUGCUCCAGGAGUCAGUCUUGAUAAUACAGAAAACUCAUUCAAAUUUUGAUCUGAAAUCAGGUAGGGCUACCCGCUGAACUU
rnacentral:rRNA from 1 species